rnacentral:rRNA from 1 species
GGGUGUGAUCAUACUAGUGUUAAUGCACCAGAUCCCAUUAGAACGCUUGGGCUAGAGUAGUACUUGGAUGGGUGACCUCCCGGGAAGUUCUAGUGUUGCACCCU